rnacentral:lncRNA from 1 species
UGAUUAUGAGUAUGGACUGCUUUAUUUUUUCUUUGUUAAACUUGACUACAAGACGAGAGUCAUGAGGCUCGAGUUUCCCAACUAGCCGGUUAUUGAGUGGAGAGGGAAUGUGUUGUGACAAAAGGUAGGUUUAUUUCUUACCUUAAGGCUUCAAAGUUGAUUCAAAAGGUGUGUAUCAAUCAUUUGGUCCGGGUGGCAGACACCGCC